rnacentral:rRNA from 1 species
GACGAACGCUGGCGGCGUGCUUAACACAUGCAAGUCGAACGGUAAGGCCCUUCGGGUACGACGAGUGGCGAACGGGUGAGUAACACGUGGGUGAUCUGCCCUGCACUUCGGGAUAAGCCUGGGAAACUGGGUCUAAUACCGGAUAGGACCAUGGACUUCACGGUUUGUGGUGGAAAGCUUUUGCGGUGUGGGAUGGGCCCGCGGCCUAUCAGCUUGUUGGUGGGGUAAUGGCCUACCCAAGGCGACGACGGGUAGCCGGCCUGAGAGGGUGUCCGGCCACACUGGGGACUGAGAUACGGCCCAGACUCCUACGGGAGGCAGCAGUGGGGAAUAUUGCACAAUGGGCGCAAGCCUGAUGCAGCGACGCCGCGUGA